UCUCUCUUCUAUUGGUAAUUCUUAGAGAACAUCAUCAGCAUACACGAGAUCAGGGUUAUAAAGUGAAGAGAAUCCAGUACUGACCCAGACUCCACUUGCAAAGCAAAAUGAGAAGCCAGGUGGUGAUGUCACAUACCUUAAAUCCAAGCACUCAGGAGGCAGAGGCAAGCAGAUCUCUGAGUCCCAGGCCAGCCUCGUCUGCGAAGUGAGUCCAGGAUAGCCAGUACUACAUAAAGAAAAAAAAAAAAAAAAAGGAAAGGAAAACAAAAAAUGAAAAUGAGGAGUCCUGCACCCUACACCAUCCUACUUCUAAUUCAGGAUCCACAACUUUCUCUCAGAACUAUGUGUGUGAGUCCAGAGUUCAAGACAGAAAGAGCCUCUUCAAGGGCCUUGCUGUUUUUCACUGACUUAUCUGAGUUAUCUUAACUGAACUCUCUUUUUUCCCCAGUGGAGAAUUGGACUCUGCAGUGAUCACUAAAUCUAACUGAUACUUGUUGAGGGCUAUUACAUAAGAAAAGGGAAUGUUUCCAUGUAGAAACCAUCAAAGAACUGCAAACAGUCUCAAAAGUGCAAACCAGCCUGGAGUUUAUGUGUUGUGUGGAACAAGGAGAAAAGACACUCUGCAUGGUCACAAAGGACAGUGUUCAUAGAGGAGGGGGCAAGUGGUAGGUGACAGGUGAUCCACAGUACGGGUGUGGGUAUCUCAGAUGACUGUUUUAUUAGGGUCCUCACCAUGGCCUCACUGUGAAGCUGAGCUGUGACUGUGAGAGAACAUUUUCAGGACAUGAAGGAUUCCUCCAGCUGGACUCUAGUUCAGGAAGUUUGAUAACUUCUCCCAGGAGCACCACCAGAUGUGACCAAGAUGAAGACCUUUAUCCCUGAGGCUCUCCUCCUGCUGCUCCUGGCCAACCUGGCCCUGACCAGGAAUCCAAAGGCUCUCAUCACCGGGCCUCACCUCCUGGAGCCCCAAUUCGUAUUUGAUGUCUACUUGGAUGAUCUUCAUGUUGAGAGAUUCAACAGCAGAGCAGAGACUCCAAGACUGGAGCACUGUGCACCAUGGGUGGAUCAGCAGGAGCCGGAGUAUUGGGAGAAGAGGACACAGGACAUCCUAAGCUCAAUGGACAUCCCUGCCUGAACUUUACUUUUCACUGAAUUACAAACUAAUGAACCUUU